GGGGUUAAACUAUACCUUACCAGGAGAAACAAGGACCUUCUCAACAUCAUCACAAAGACACAAGGUUCUGGCCUGCUUCUUGUUUUACUUCUUGUUUUACUACAAACCAAUUCCGCGGCAGAUCAGAGUUUAUCUGUUAUCAGGAUGUUGCACAGUAGAGCAGUGCCAUGAGGUUCUGGCCUGCUUCUUCUUUUACUUCUUGUUUUACUACAAACCAAUUCCGCGGCAGAUCAGAGUUCAUCUGUUAUCAGGAUGUUGCACAGUAGAGCAGUGCCAUGGCAGUAACUGGCAGUAGGAAUCUAAGCACAGAAGCUUUCUAUGGAUCAGGGAUUGUGCAGUGCUGUGUUCUGGACUCAUGGGAACAGAUCAAGAUGAAACUGGAUAUCAGUGUCCAUUAUGUAUGGUAUGUAAAUCCAUAUGGAACCCUGUAUUUUAUGAGAUCCUGCAAUAAAUUGCAGUAUAUGUCUCUUUUAUAGUAUUAGUGGUAAUAUUGGUCUUGGUAUGCCUGUGGGGCGUCAUUCUAUAAAAAGGCGCAUGC